rnacentral:lncRNA from 1 species
UGUCCUUCCUUUUAUUAUUAUAAUUUUUUUCUCAGACCCAGAUUUCAUUACAGGUGAUUAUGCAAGAAAAAGCCUCAAGGCUGUUUUGUAUGUGGAAUGUUUGUGGCAUUUGCAGUCUCUCUUGCUUCUGUAUUUCUUCAGAAGCAGGUGAAAAAGCUAGAUUGGACGAUAAGAGAAUAGUAAAAACCUUACUUUUCUGUAUUGAAAGCACAACACCAUCCAGUGACAGCUGAAGUAAUGAAUCAAUGUGAUUUACAUACACAGGUCAGCGGAGGACACCAGCACACAGCUGAAAACAUCCCCUAAAUCUACACCUUCCUGUACUACUCCCAUUCCAGCCAAAUAUGUGCACAUUCCUGCUCUAUAUCCUUUGAGCAGCUAUGGCCAGGAGGUGAGGGGGUCAUGCCUCCCAUCGUGGGGGGCUGGCAGUCCCAGGAGGGAAGGAGCUGGGCAGGGGUAGCUGCUCCCCUGUGUCCUCUGCGCUCUCAAGAGCCGGCAGCAGGAAGCAGCCAGGAUCAGUCCCAGCCUGGAGCUGUGACACACAGAGAGCUGACUGGAUGCCAUCUGCAUAUAUUUUUUUGGCAGCAACCCGGGAUUUAUAUCACUACGACGUGUUAUAUCCUUGGUGUGUUCCAGUCCAUUAAGCACCUCAUCAAAUACUUUAAGAAUAUUUUUUGUAGCCUGCUCAAUAGCUAGAUGAUGCUUUCUCUGGCAGUCUGCUGCUCAACCUUAGUGAGCAAGGACCUUUUUUUCCCCCCAAAUAUAAGGUAAGCUCCUUGCCUCUCAGGUUUGAAAACAAAUAGAAAAGCCCCCCCUGCUCUCACUCUGCAGUUCAUUCUGUAUGUACUGCAAGGAAGGCUGCACCAUGCCCCCCAAAAGCUGGUGGGAUGCCUGCUGGGACAUAGAAUUGUAGAAUCAUAGAAUCCCUAGAGUUGGAAGGGACCUUUAAAGGUCCUCUAGACCAACUCCCCUGUAAUGAACAGGGAUAUGCACAGCUAAAUUAGGUUGCCCAGGGACUGAUCCAGCCUUGCCUUGAAAGUCUCCAGGGACGGGGCAUCAACCAC